GAGUCAUAAUCUUUAUCCCCCGAUUUACUGUUCAUCCCUGUCCGCCUCUCCCACACUCUCCUUGUUUACAUCUAUUUUAUGGACUUCCGAUCUGACAGCCACACUUUGUUGCUCCCCAGACUAUAUGUCCUUUGGAUUUGGCUGUCUGAUAGUAUGCUUCAAGGGGUAAAGGGUACUUUUUUCCCCAGGAGAUGACGACAAACUUCUCAAACGUGACUCCAAAGACUGCCAAGGAGUUUGAAACAUCUGCAGCACACUUCCUGCUAACUUAGAUAUCUGUGCUUUUGACUUUUUCCAACUUCCGCGGAUGACGCCAAUGUCGUACAAAAGAUGUAAAUCGAGAGGUGAAGUCAACCACAGGAGCUGUUGUCAGUUCCGUUCUGAUGAUCCUGUCAGAAUUGAGCUUGCAGGAAAGCUGUGUCCAGUGGCUAAUAACAAACUGGAGGUAUGUUUAAGGAUCUAAUAGACAUUCACAGUCUUGCCUUCAGGCCUCCAGGUUAUAUUUUGGGGGUGGGGCUUCGAUGAAGGGUAAGUAUAUCCUCUUUGUUCUGGUCCACUCCACUCACGCCUGCUUUUGUCUCCACCCACUAAGACCCCAUCUCUCAACCGGAAGACGGGCGUUAUUUCCAGGGCAACCAGUGCAGGUAGUUUAGAGUAGUUGAGCCACUACAGCUCAUCUGUUUUUUUUUUGUUUUUUUUUUGGUGAGUGUAUUUUGGUCGAGCAUUUCCCGCCACUGAGGCGGCAGAGAGGGAGGGGCGUGGCCUCAGGCGGUAUGAAGAAAGGCAGCCUCCUCACAGCCUCGCGCCAAAAUGCCGGCGUUAUUUAAAUGAGCUCAGUGGGUGCGGCCCAACUGUCUCCGUGUCCUGUUAACCCCAUGUGAGCUUCAGUUUGGCGGUCACAACACAAAGCCCAUACAGGUCUCAUAACAAAAAACAAAAAAAAAACAUUAACAAAUGUUCUCCCGUCUGUCAGAUAAACAGCAGAGUCUCUUUGUUUUAUCAAACUUUUAAAAAUAACAACCUUUUUUUUUUCGAUGAUUAAUAAUUGAUCUGUACAUGAUGUGCUUGAUAUGCAUCCAGCAGGGAAAAAAAAGUGAAGUUUUCCCGUCUAUCGCGGGGUAUGGUAUACACGCUCCAGACCCACUCGUGAAAGGUGAAAAUCAACGAUAGUAAUAAUAAUAAUAAUAUAUACAUAGGUUAACCCCUCCUACACAGUUUAAACACAUUUAAACGUAUUAAAACACACUUAAACCUAUUAAUGCACACUUAAAAAAAAAAAAAAGUAUUCCUUAGCACCUGUUCUCACCUUUCUCCGUCAGGAAAUGGGAGGUUAUCUUCUUAUAUCACUUUGAGGAAAUGAAACGCUAACUCUCACUGACAUUGUUCCACAAAUAGGAGGCGAAUCGUACUUGCCUCGAGCUGUUUAUGUCACUUCCAGUUUAACUUUACGGUAAAAUGAACACAUAAACAAAAUAGAAUGAAACAUUAUAUAUUCAAAUGGCAAAAUGUUCAACCAAACAAUAUAAUUUCGUCUAAAAAAAAAAAAAAAGUCCGCUAGCUUAAUGCUAACAUAUAAUGUAAAAAUCAGGAGACAGGCUAACGGAAAUUAGCAUAGUUAUGCUGCAUCUACAGUACAUGCCGUAGAGCUCAGUUCUGCCUGGCAAGUUGUGGCACAACAACUUGGUACCAAAAUGAAAUGUUGUGCCGUGAACAACUCUAAAUUCAGUGGGUCUCUUAAUCUCUUAAUGUAAGAAGAGCGUGGUUGUGUACCUGCUCAGUGCUUUAUUUUAUGAUCUGGUGCUAUAUAAAUCAAAUUGAUUUGUAUUUCAUUGAACUAUUGAAAGCAUUUACACUUCCUUGUAAAGUGUAAAAAUGCAUUAGAAAGGCAAUAUGGCGGAGGUUUUGCGAAAGAUGAAUAGCGAUGUACACAAAAUGUAGCUGUCAGCACGAGGAACUGGUGGUUAGCAAGUCCGCCUCACGGUUCUGACCUUCGGGGUGCAACUCACAUCUCAGGGCUCCCUGUGUGAAUUUGCCAUGUUCUCCCCCUGCUUACGUGAAUUUACGCCAGCUUCCUACCACAUUCCCAAAACAUGUAUGUGAGAUUUAUUAAGGACUCUAACUUGUCCAUACGUCUGAAUGGUUGUCUGCCUGUAUGUGCCCAGUGAUUGACUCAUGGCGACCAGGAUUCAUGGCCUUUCACUCCAAGAAGCGUCAUGGAAAAUGGACGGGUAUUAGUUAUUCCAAAAAUAAUGAAAACCAAAAAAUUGCUUUUGUUUUUUUAAUAUGGGCAAUUACAAUUUAAGCUGAUUGACAAAAUCCAUUCAACCUAAUUGUACAGUACAACAAAUACAUAAACUUCCUCCCUUGUUGGGCCUUUCCUUCUCUUUGUUUUUGUUUUUUAAUUUCUUUUGUCUGCAGAAAGAAUGACCUGAAGAGCUGAGCGCGGCAGUUGACAUACUCGCCUGUCCUCUACUGCUCUCUAGUGGCUGCAAAACACAUCUCAAAGCACAUCAAAAUACGCACUUUUUAAAAUGUCUGUCUUUUAUUAUUUAAUUUUUUCAAUGCAAUCUUUUUCACUGCAUGCCAAUACUUGUGUCUUUGUUAUACGUGUCUUCCUCGCCAUUGCUUAUUGUCCAUAGUUAAAAAUGAAGAGACACACAUACACUAUUGCUUCCUCAUUCUGUUCAUUAUUAUUAUAUUAAUUAAUUGUAUUUAAAAGUAUUUAAAUUGUAUUCAGCAUAUUUAUUCAUGGUAUUCUAAAAUCUAAGGGACUAAGACUGCAAAGCUGAAGCUACAUGUCCUUAAUGCAUCACAUUUCCCCCAUUUUUCAAAGGCAAUGUUGUACUGUAUGUAUUAUUCCCAUUAAAUAAACAUGAAUGUAUUUGUAAUUUUAUGUCAUUAAUAAUUAAAAUAAAAAGUAAGACACACACACACACACACACUAGGUAGGCAAUCGCCCCCUAAUAUCACUUAGACCAUUUACGGCGUUCACGAAAAUAGGGCCCAUAGUGUCUAUCCCCAGCAGUACAAGUGCAGUAAGCCUGGUUGAGAUGUGGAUUUCAUUUCUAAUACCCUGGAUAGAAAGGCAAGGGGAGAACACGUAAACUCCACACAGGCGAGGCCGGGAUUUGAACCCCAGUCCUCAGAACUGUGAGGCAGAUGGGCGAAUCGGUCGUCCACCGUGCCGCCCUGUUGGUUUUCAGUCAGUCCAAAUUUCUGUCCUUUUUUUGUUACACCCCUUUGAAUGAUAACUGAAAUGCUCCCUAUUUGUCCAUCAACGAGUUGUUGUUAGCCUGUGGACAAAAGUAUAGGGACACACAUAUUUGUCAAUUCAUUCAUUGUAUCUGACCGGGGGAACCGAGGGGCUACUAUGGAUUCAGAAUUGUCUGUGUGCUGCCGUGUGCACAAAUAUUUUAUAUGUGAUCACAUGUGGUUCAAAUUGUCUAAGCUUGUCACAGUUCUUCCAAAAAUAAAUGGUAAAACGUUUUCCAAUCUUAGUGAAGUUAGGAAAUGGUUUCCCCCUCAUAGAUUCAACGUCUAAGAUUCAAAGACUGAGGCGACACUCGUGUAUUUAGGUAUUAAAAUGGAUUUUAAACAAGAUUUCAGCCAUCCUAAGGACCUAAGACUAAGUUGCAAGGGUUAGGGGUUGGUGACACACAGAAGUAGUACAAUAUGUUCAACCUUUUUAUUCCGCUGUGUGACGAACAAAGCAAGAAAUUACGCAUCCUGAGUAAUUCAUCUACAGUGACAUGAUUUUACUGGCUGCAAUGGUGUAACUUGUGGAGCAUCAUUUAAAGGAUUCUAAAUAAAUGGAGCAUGCUCGACGGGAAGAGGUCUUCUAUAACAGUCCACACAUUUCUAAUUAAUUACGACCUGUGUAGACAUCGUAUUUUCAUUUGAAACUCGAUUCAUUAUUCGUCAUAUCAAGAAUUUGGGACAAUUACCCGUAUGGACUUUGGAGGAAGAGAUUGGCGAAGAUGCUUUUCUGUUAAAGAAUGAUUGUGUCCCUGGGUACAAAGGAAGGCCCAAGUGGGCGUUCUUGGAUGAGUCUGGAGUAGAUGACCCCCAUUUACACCAAAAAUGUGAUUUAUUGUACAGAACAGAGAUUGUGAUUGUGGCAAGCCCUCAACAUCAGUGACAGCACAAAUAUCCGUGUGGAUAAAUGGAAAACAAAUCCCAACCUCCAAAAACAUGUAAAGAGUCUUAUCAUAUAGCUUCUGUACGGCAAGUCUGGACUAAAAGCAGGAGUUGGGGGUCCAAGCGGAAGUAUGAUAAUACAAUUAUAAAUUACACACACACACAAUGGUUGGGUGGCUAACAUAAUUGACCUCUGUGCAGCGGGCCUGUGAUCAAGGCCUGAUGUCCAGAGUGUACUUGACCUUCUGCCUAACGUCAGCUAGGAUGCGUUCCAGGCCCUGCUGUGACUCCGAGCAUGAUAAAGGCUCGUGAAGAUGGAUGGAUGGAUAUUCAGGAAGCAUGAAUCAGGGACCCCUCCCACUUCAUUGAGUCCCAACCAAGAUGUCUACUCAGCCUCUUCUACCCAGAAGCCCUUUCUGUACUGCUCUAAAUUGGU